UAAGCCCAGCCGGUUAUAAUUCUGAACAGUAAACAUUUUAUAUUCACAGUUCACACUACACAGCGCUUCACAGUCGAACUUGCCGCUUUGGCUGAUUGGAUGCCAGAUGAGGACGUUUUUAAUUGCAAAAUUGCAAAUGGCAAUGUUGCGCCUUGCGCGUUACUUUCAAGAUGGCUGCUGACAGUCUGACAGGUGACAUUGACAGCCUCGGCGACGAAGUCAACUCAACCUACUCAAUUUAAUUUCCCUGACAUUAUUCGUCAUAAAAAUGAUAAAAUAGCCUACAAUUUAUACCUGGCAAUUCCAUCGGAUCAUGUGGCCUGAAACUGCUGUUUCCCAAAAUGUCGUCUCUAGCUGCACGUACCGGCUGUGCGUUUUGGUCACAUCUAGAAAUACUUCACAACAGUAUAAGUGAUCAUGUUGAUGUAACCCUAAGCAUUGUGAAGUCUGAGCUUCUUUAUUGCAGUCCAAUGUGCUGUGCAGUGCGAUUUGUUGCAGCCAGCUUUUGAAAGGUGUUCCUCUUGCAGGCUUGCUACCUGUACCAUUUGUAGCUUUCGUCACAUGCAGAAACACUUCUGAAAAAUUUAAAUAGGAUUAUUAGCCUCUUUAGGUCUGAGCCUCUUUCUUGCAGCCCAAUGUGUACAUGAAUUUUGUGCAGCCAGCUAGUGAAUUGUGUGGUGAGCUGUUGCUUGCAGACUGUGGUGCUGGUGUCGUUCGUUCAUUUAACUAUGGACCGUUCAGUCGUUCGUUCAUUUAACUAUGGACCGUUCAGUC